rnacentral:rRNA from 1 species
UACGAAGGGGGCUAGCGUUGUUCGGAAUUACUGGGCGUCAAGCGUGCGCAGGCGGCCUUCCAAGUCAGGGGUGAAAGCCCAGAGCUCAACUCUGGAAUUGCCUUUGAGACUGUGAGGCUUGAGUACGGGAGAGGUGAGUGGAAUUCCCAGUGUAGAGGUGAAAUUCGUAGAUAUUGGGAAGAACACCGGUGGCGAAGGCGGCUCACUGGCCCGAAACUGACGCUCAUGCACGACAGCGUGGGGAUCAAACAGG